rnacentral:rRNA from 1 species
GCAAGUCGAGCGCACCUUCGGGUGAGCGGCGGACGGGUUAGUAACGCGUGGGAACAUACCCUUUUCUACGGAAUAGCCAUUGGAAACGAUGAGUAAUACCGUAUACGCCCUUCGGGGGAAAGAUUUAUCGGUGAAGGAUUGGCCCGCGUUAGAUUAGGUAGUUGGUGGGGUAAUGGCCUACCAAGCCUACGAUCUAUAACUGGUUUGAGAGGAUGAUC